rnacentral:rRNA from 1 species
CGCAUCUGUGCAUGCAGCAUAUCAAUAAGCGGAGGAAAAGAAACUAACAAGGAUUCCCCUAGUAACGGCGAGUGAAGCGGGAAGAGCUCAAAUUUGAAAUCUUAAAGGGUUUCCCUUUACGAAUUGUAGUUUAAAGAAGUGUUUUCUGUUGAGGUUUUGGUAAAAGUUCUUUGGAAUAGGACAUCAUAGAGGGUGAGAAUCCCGUAUUUGACCUUUACUUUCAACUUUGUGAUACACUUUCAAAGAGUCGGAUUGUUUGGGAAUGCAGUCCAAAAUGGGUGGUAAAUUUCAUCUAAAGCUAAAUAUUGGCGAGAGACCGAUAGCGAACAAGUACCGUGAGGGAAAGAUGAAAAGAACUUUGAAAAGAGAGUUAAACAGUACGUGAAAUUGUCAAAAGGGAAGCGUUUGACACCAGUGUUGUUUUUCUGAAAAUCAAUUAAAGAACUGUUUAUGCUAAGGUGUUUAGACUUUAUCAGCUAACUGUUUAGUUUUGAGCUUUUCUUUAAUGCACUUUUCAGUUAACAAGUCAACAUCAAUUUCUUUUGCUGUAAAAAAGCUUGAGGAAGGUGGCUUGAGAUUCGUCUUAAGUGUUUAUAGCCUCUUGCCUAUGCAGUCGGAGAGAUUGAGGUCUGCAGCGUAGAUCCUUCGGGGCUAAAUGCAUUUGUGCUAAGUUAUAGCAUUUUAUAGACAACUUGUUGACUAUGAUUUGUCUUGUAGCUUACUCGCUUAUGUUAUUUUACCUACGCUUAGGAUGUUGAGUCGUAGAGCACGCAG